rnacentral:rRNA from 1 species
GUGCCAGCAGCCGCGGUAAUACGGAGGGUGCAAGCGUUAUCCGGAUUCACUGGGUUUAAAGGGUGCGUAGGUGGGCUAGUAAGUCCGUGGUGAAAUCUCCAAGCUUAACUUGGAAACUGCCGUGGAUACUAUUAGUCUUGAAUGUUGUGGAGGUAAGCGGAAUAUGUCAUGUAGCGGUGAAAUGCUUAGAUAUGACAUAGAACACCGAUAGCGGAGGCAGCUUGCUACACAAUGAUUGACACUGAGGCACGAAAGCGUGGGGAUCAAACAGGAUUAGAUACCCUGGUAGUCC